rnacentral:piRNA from 1 species
UCCUCUUUAUGAGCAGAUUGAAGCUGGUA